rnacentral:rRNA from 1 species
UACGUAGGGCGCAAGCGUUGUCCGGAAUUAUUGGGCGUAAAGAGCUCGUAGGUGGCUUGUCACGUCGGGUGUGAAAGCUUGGGGCUUAACUCCAGGUCUGCAUUCGAUACGGGCUGGCUAGAGGUAGGUAGGGGAGAACGGAAUUCCUGGUGUAGCGGUGAAAUGCGCAGAUAUCAGGAGGAACACCGGUGGCGAAGGCGGGUCUCUGGGCCAUUACUGACACUGAGAGACGAAAGCUAGGGGAGCGAAUGGG